rnacentral:rRNA from 1 species
AUUGAACGCUGGCGGCAGGCUUAACACAUGCAAGUCGAGCGAGCGGCGGACGGGUGAGUAAUGUAUGGGAAACUGCCUGAUCGAGGGGGAUAACUACUGGAAACGGUGGCUAAUACCGCAUACCAUCGGAUGUACCCAUAUGGGAUUAGCUAGUAGGUGGGGUAAUGGCUCACCUAGGCGACGAUCCCUAGCUGGUCUGAGAGGAUGACCAGCCACACUGGGACUGAGACACGGUCCAGACUCCUACGGGAGGCAGCAGUGGGGAAUAUUGCACAAUGGGCGCAAGCCUGAUGCAGCCAUGCCGCGUGUGUGAAGAAGGCCUUAGGGUUGUAAAGCACUUUCAGCGGGGAGGCGUUACUCGCAGAAGAAGCACCGGCUAACUCCGUGCCAGCAGCCGCGGUAAUAC